rnacentral:hammerhead_ribozyme from 1 species
AUCCAACUGAUGAGUCCGAAAUGGGGUGAAACGUUCGUCCUGGAU